rnacentral:rRNA from 1 species
UUUUUUCGUGUAGCAAUACAUGGAAAAGUCUAGCGGCGAACGGGUGCUUAACACGUGGGCAACCUGCCAGGAAGUGGGGGAUAGCUCGCCGAAAGGCGAAUUAAUACCGCAUGUGAUUAGAGAGGACAUCCUUUCGAAAUUAAAGUCGGGGCAACCUGACGCUUCUUGUGGGGCCCGCGGCCUAUCAGCUAGUUGGUGAGGUAAUGGCUCACCAAGGCUUUGACGGGUAGCUGGUCUGAGAGGACGACCAGCCACACUGGGACUGAGACACGGCCCAGACACCUACGGGUGGCAGCAGUCGAGAAUUUUUGACAAUGGGGGAAACCCUGAUCGAGCGACGCCGCGUGGAGGAUGAAGGUCUUCGGAUUGUAAACUCCUGUCAUUGGGGAACAAGUCGCUUACGUUAACUGCGUGAGCGUUGAUAGUACCCGAAGAGGAAGAGACGGCUAACUCUGUGCCAGCAGCCGCGGUAAUACAGAGGUCUCAAGCGUUGUUCGGAUUCAUUGGGCGUAAAGGGUGCGUAGGCGGCGCGGUAAGCCGGGUGUGAAAUCUCGGAGCUUAACUCCGAAACUGCAUUCGAUACUGCCGUGCUUGAGGACUGGAGAGGAGACUGGAAUUUACGGUGUAGCGGUGAAAUGCGUAGAUAUCGUAAGGAAGACCAGUGGCGAAGGCGGGUCUCUGGACAGUUCCUGACGCUGAGGCACGAAGGUCAGGGGAGCAAACGGGAUUAGAUACCCCGGUAGUCCUGACAGUAAACGGUGCACGUUUGGUGUGGGAGGAUUCGACCCCUUCUGCGCCGGAGCUAACGCGUUAAACGUGCCGCCUGGGGAGUACGGUCNCAAGAUUAAAACUC